rnacentral:rRNA from 1 species
GGGUUCAUACGUUGGUCGGGCUUAAUUGUCUGCACUGGUGAGAUGGAUCUCUACCUUCUGAGGAACUUUCAUGCCAUUUAUUUGGUGUGAUGGGAAAUCAGGACUGUUACUUUGAAAAAAUUAGAGUGCUUAAAGCAGACUAUCGUCUGAAUACAUUAGCAUGGAAUAAUGAAAUAGGACGGACUGAUUCUAUUUCGUUGGUUUCUAGGAUCACCGUA